UGGCUUAGUGGUUAAGAGCACUGGCUGCUCUUCCAGAGUACCUGGGUUCAAUUCCCAG
rnacentral:tRNA from 1 species